rnacentral:rRNA from 1 species
GACGAACGCUGGCGGCGUGCUUAACACAUGCAAGUCGAACGAGUGGCGGACGGGUGAGUAAUAUCUGGGAAACUGCCCGAUGGAGGGGGAUAACUUCUGGAAACGGUAGCUAAUACCGCAUACCAUCGGAUGUGCCCAGAUGGGAUUAGCUAGUAGGUGGUGUAACGGCUAGGCUAGGCGGCGAACCCUAGCUGGUCUGAGAGGAUGACCAGCCACACUGGAACUAGGACACGUUCCAGUCUCCUACGGGCGGCAGCAUGGGGGAGGAUUGCACAAUGUGUGCAAUGCUGAUGCGGCGAUGCCGCGUAUAUGAAGAAGGCCUUCGGGUUGUAAUGUACUUACAGCGAGAAGGCGUUGCUCUCAGAGGAAGCACCGGCUAACUCCGUGCCAGCAGCCGCGGUAAUAC